rnacentral:lncRNA from 1 species
CAGCCACCAGGAAGAAGGCCUGGAACAACUCGAUGCACCAACCCACGGCCAGCGCGCACCGCAGGCUCUCAGCAUCCUUCUGCCCCGGCCCCGACAGCUCCCGGUACGCAGCCACCACCGUCAGCCCACGGUUGCAUUUCCCACCGGGAGCGUUGUAUUGCAGCACCUCCUUCAGCCGCGCCACAGCGUCGCCCACCUCCGGGUGUCCGAUGCCGUCCUCGGUCAGAUCGCGGACGAUCUGCGGGAAGAACCCCACGAACUCCUCCCUCUCCCUCUCGGCCGCCGUCCGCUUCGCCCCAUCCGCGCUCAUGGCGACCCCGACG